UACGGAGGGUGCAAGCGUUGCUCGGAAUCACUGGGCGUAAAGCGUGCGCAGGCGGUUUUGUAAGCCAGAUGUGAAAUCCCCGGGCUUAACCUGGGAAUGGCAUUUGGGACUGCAAGGCUCGAGUGCGGCAGAGGAGACUGGAAUUCCUGGUGUAGCAGUGAAAUGCGUAGAUAUCAGGAGGAACACCGAUGGCGAAGGCAGGUCUCUGGGCUGACACUGACGCUCAUGCACGAAAGCGUGGGGAGCAAACAGG
rnacentral:rRNA from 1 species